CUCUAGCACGAGUGGCUGCGUUUUGGUCUGUUCUGCCAGGCCUCCUGCAGGAGCUCAGGCCAGACCAGUGGCCUCCUACGAAUUUUAUCAAACGCGACUCAGACGAUGCCGUUCAGGCAAGGUUGAGAACCAAGCCCAGCACUGCCUGGUCCAGCCCCUGGGAAGGAAGGCAGGGCCGGGAGCCCCUCCUGCCGCCAGCAGCGACCCUGUCUCGGAAGGUUGUCUUUUCAGGGACGCUUGUACAGCAGACAGCCUUGGAAGAAAGAGAGAGAGUCUCACUCAGGAGCUCAGGACAGGGUGGAGCUGUGAGGAAUCUGGGCUGACUGCAGGGUCCCACCUGCCAGGAACAAGAACAGCUCCUUCCCGAGGCCCGGUCGUCACUGUUUCCUGAUCACCCGAAAGUGAACACCCAAAGCAUGCAAGGAACACCUUUUGUUCCCAACAGGCCUGGAAAGAGCCCUGCCCGGCCUGCUGGGGAGGCGAGCUGUUCCUGCAACAGCUUGUAAGCAAAGCGUCUCAGUAAAACAAAAGCUCAC
rnacentral:lncRNA from 10 species